rnacentral:misc_RNA from 1 species
GGUCGGCGGAAGGGAUCAAAGAGUAAAGUUAGUCCAGAAUUGACAAGAAAACUUGGUGAUGCCACUCUUCAUUAUGCACAUGGCCGUUACGAAGAGGCCAAACUUGUGUUGCGUGAAGUCAUUCGUCUUUCGCCAAACCUUCCUGAUCCAUACCAUACACUUGGCCUGAUUUACAAUGCUAUGGGUGAUAAGAAGAGAGCUAUGAAUUUCUACAUGCUUGCAGCACAUUUGUCACCGAAGGAUGCAUCUCUAUGGAAUCUCCUGGUUGCUUGGUCCACAGAGCAGGGAGAUAGGAAGCAGACCCGCUAUUGCCUUUCCAAAGCAAUAAAAGCAGACCCUGAAGACCUUAGUCUAAGGUUUCAAAGGGCUUCAAUAUAUAUUGAACUUGGAG